UAAACAACGCAGAAUGACCGAAACAGCAGAUUAGGUAGUCAUUCCUGUUUAUUCUUUACCAAGCUCUCGAAUUUAGGAUGUUUAGCAUAAAAAACGCUAGCUACGCCUCUGUCCGAUCAAGAACAGAGAAGCCCCAGAAGACGACGGAACCAAUCUGGCAGCGGAAGUCGAUCUCGCGACUCCAGUCCAGUCUUUGGUCCCAUGCCCAAGGCCCCCCAAAAUGAAGAAGAGCAUAAACCUCCUCGAAUAUUCGAGAUAGAGAGAAAUGACAAAGUGUUUCGUACGGAAAGCACCCGCGAGAGGUACAGAAAUCAGCGAAGUGGCGGCAGGAAUGAUGAUCAACGCCAGCGACAAAACGCCUUCAUCUCGGGCCUUGAAGGAGUUCCCACAUAUGCUAAGCACUUGCUUUUCCUUCACUCUGCGGUCCAACUCAUCCCAAACCAUCUCAAUUGGGUUGAGGUCGGGUGAUUGUGGAGGCCAGGUCAUCUGUUGCAGCACUCCAUCACUCUCCUUCUCUGUCAAAUAGCCAUAAUACAACCUGAAGCUCUGAUGACCAUUCACCAGUUGAAGAGUAUGUGGAAAACAGAGGCUCAGAUUCAAGCUCAUCGGAUGAUAAGAAGAAGAAAAGGAAGAAAUCCAAAAGGAAGAACAAGAAACACUCCGAUGACAGCGAGGAAGAGUCGGACUCUGGUGUUGAGAAAUGUUUCCCCUUGAAAAAGGUCAAAGAAGUUCAAGAAGAAGAAGACUAUGAAGAACCGCAAGCAGUCAGCGAGCGACUCCAGCAGCGACGGGUCAGAGGAGGAGGACACCAACGGGGAUCUGUGGGUGGAGAGGACCUGCAUUGCCAAACACAUGGUGGGCCCAGAGGCCCCACUCACCCACCUUUCCCAGGACGACAAGCCUCUCGAGUAAGUAUGCAUAGAGUAAUCUUUCUUACAUUUAAUAAUCUACCUUGUGCUGUGGCUGGGGUUAUGCAAUAGCAAAGUUAUGGAAACAUUUUGAAAUUCCUCUCAGAUGUUGUUAUGAAAUUAUAAUAACUUUAUUACCGCGUUUUAUUAUAACUUUAGAGAUGUUAAUAGCUUACUAUUGUUAACAUUAUAAGGGAUACUCCACACUGUCUACAACUUUUGACAGUAGUUAAUCACAUUGUAAUUAUGUAGCAUUAAGUAGAAAACAAAGCCAGGGUCAUAUUUGUUAGUGCACACUGUAGCAAAAUGUUUUGCACUUUAAUAGAAUGGUUUGUGAUUGAAAACGAAAACCAGCAUUUCUUAUUGGACACAUUCAGGUAGCCCCGUUUAUUUCUUAGUGACUAUGACACAAGCGCCUUAAUUUUAGUGUGCUACUAGGUACAUACAACUUGCUUCCACAGUUUGUAAUGACAUUGCCACACAAUAUAUUCAGCUUUUAAAAUGCAGCUCUAUUCUUUUUUUAAAAAUUAUCAAUGAAUGACUGAUUUAUUGAUUUACAUCAUUUUUCUCUUUCCCCCUAAUUUUGGUCAUGCCCUGCUGCCGGGUGAGGGUGCCGCUAUGGCAGAAUAUGUGAAAGCAAGCAAGCGUAUCCCAAGAAGAGGUGAAAUCGGGUUGACUAGUGACGAAAUCACAACCUUUGAGAUGUCUGGCUUCGUGAUGAGCGGUAGCAGACAUCGUCGUAUGGAGGCUGUGCGUCUGAGAAAGGAAAACCAGAUCGACAGUGUGGAUGAAAAGAGAGCCUUGGCAUCAUUCAACCAGGAGGAAAGAGGGAGAGCAAAAUCCUCUCGAGCUUCAGAGAAAUGGUGUACAGGAAAACUAAAGGCAAAUAGGACAAAUGAGCCUUUUUGUUCCUCCCCUUUCAGGGACUUUCAGCUUCGGAUAAUUUUUUCUCCCGGCAUUAUCUUUCGUUGUGUUUUUUUUCUCAUCGUUUCGUGAUUUGAGAAUGUUAUUUCUUUCCUCUUUGUAUUGGGAAUUAGGCUUAUAUUACUUAUAUUUUAAAACCUCUCUGACACAGUGGACUAUUUUGUUUAUUUAGAAAGUAGUCAAUUGAAUAUUGGAAAGUGCUUGUUUGUCACAAAGCAAACGUAUUCAAAGACGAGCACAAGACUGGACCAUGCAGAUGUAUGGUGUAUAGAUUUGGAGACCCAUCCGGAGAGCCAUUUUGUAUUGGGCUAUUACAAUAUUGUGCAUCUGUAACAGUAUAACUUUAGACCGUCCCCUCGCCCAUACCCGAGCGCGAACCAGGGACCCUCUGCACACAUCAACAACAGUCACCCACGAAGCAUCGUUACCCAUCACUCCACAAAAGCCACUUAGUGUACAAAACAUUAGGAACACCUGCUCUUUUCAUGACAUAGAAUGACCAGGUGAAGGCUAUGAUCUCUUAUUGAUGUCACUUGUUAAAUCCACUUCAAUCAGUGUAGAGGAAGAGACCGGUUAAAGAAGGAUUUUUAAGCCUUGAGACAAUUGAGUUAUGGAAUGUGUAUGUGUGCUAUUCAGAGGGUGCAUGGGCAAGACAAAAGAUUGCUGUGCCUUUGAACGGGGAAUGGUAGUAGGUGCCAAGCGCACUGGUUUUCGUGUCAAGAACUGCAAUGCUGAUGGGUUUUUCACACUCAACAGUGUAUCAACACCCGUUGAAUAUGGCCGCCACCCAAAGGACAUCCAGCCAACUUGACACAACUGUGGGAAGCAUUGGAGUCAACAUGGGCCAGCAUCCCUGUGGUACGCUUUCGACACCUUGUAGAGUCCAUGCCCCAACGAAUUGAGGCUGUUCUGGGGGCAAAUGGGGGCGCAACUCAAUAUGAGUAAGGUGUUCCUAAUGUUUUGUACACUCAUUGUAAAUCAAAUCCAAUCCAUCCCAGAACCUUCUACCUAUGUAACGUUUAACGUAGGAAACGUGUAUGUAAUAUCACAUAUUCAGAAUUAAUAAAUCAUUUAAAAAUA